rnacentral:rRNA from 1 species
AGGACGAACGCUGGCGGCGUGCCUAACACAUGCAAGUCGAACGCGCUCCAUUCGGUAGCAAUACUGAUGAAGAGCGAGUGGCGAACGGGUGAGUAGCACGUGAGCAACCUGCCCCGAAGACUGGGACAACACCGGGAAACCGGUGCUAAUACCGGAUAUCCCUAUCGGAUCGCAUGAUCUGAUAAGGAAAUGUUUUUCGCUUCGGGAGGGGCUCGCGGCCUAUCAGCUAGUUGGUGGGGUAACGGCCUACCAAGGCAUCGACGGGUAGCUGGUCUGAGAGGACGAUCAGCCACACUGGGACUGAGACACGGCCCAGACUCCUACGGGAGGCAGCAGUGGGGAAUCUUGCGCAAUGGGCGAAAGCCUGACGCAGCAACGCCGCGUGGAGGACGAAGGCUUUCUGAGUUGUAAACUCCUUUCAGCAGGGACGAUUGUGACGGUACCUGCAGAAGAGCACCGGCAACUACGCGCCAGCAGCCGA